GACGAACGCUGGCGGCGUGCUUAACACAUGCAAGUCGAACGGUGAAGCUCCAGCUUGCUGGAGUGGAUCAGUGGCGAACGGGUGAGUAACACGUGAGCAACCUGCCCCUGACUCUGGAAUAAGCGCUGGAAACGGCGUCUAAUACUGGAUACGAGAAGGGUCCGCAUGGGCACUUUCUGGAAAGUUUUUCGGUUGGGGAUGGGCUCGCGGCCUAUCAGCUUGUUGGUGAGGUAAUGGCUCACCAAGGCGACGACGGGUAGCCGGCCUGAGAGGGCGACCGGCCACACGGGGACUGAGACACGGCCCAGACUCCUACGGGAGGCAGCAGUGGGGAAUAUUGCACAAUGGGCGAAAGCCUGAUGCAGCGACGCCGCGUGAGGGAUGACGGCCUUCGGGUUGUAAACCUCUUUCAGCAGGGAAGAAGCGAAAGUGACGGUACCGGCAGAAGAAGCACCGGCUAACUACGU
rnacentral:rRNA from 1 species